rnacentral:miRNA from 1 species
GGCCCCGGGCCCUCGACCGGAC